rnacentral:rRNA from 1 species
GACGAACGCUGGCGGCGUGCUUAACACAUGCAAGUCGAACGGAAAGGCUCCAGCUUGCUGGAGUUCUCGAGUGGCGAACGGGUGAGUAACACGUGGGUAAUCUGCCCUGCACUCUGGGAUAAGCCUGGGAAACUGGGUCUAAUACUGGAUAUGACCUUUCUCCUUAUGGGGUUUGGUGGAAAGUUUUUCGGUGUAGGAUGAGCCCGCGGCCUAUCAGCUUGUUGGUGGGGUGAUGGCCUACCAAGGCGACGACGGGUAGCCGGCCUGAGAGGGUGAUCGGCCACAUUGGGACUGAGAUACGGCCCAGACUCCUACGGGAGGCAGCAGUGGGGAAUAUUGCACAAUGGGCGGAAGCCUGAUGCAGCGACGCCGCGUGAGGGAUGACGGCCUUCGGGUUGUAAACCUCUUUCAGCAGGGACGAAGCGUAAGUGACGGUACCUGCAGAAGAAGCACCGGCUAACUACGUG